ACCUACGGGAGGCAGCAGUGGGGAAUAUUGGGCAAUGGGCGCGAGCCUGACCCAGCAACGCUGCGUGAAGGAAGAAGGCUUUCGGGUUGUAAACUUCUUUUAUGAGGGACGAAACAAAUGACGGUACCCCAUGAAUAAGCCACGGCUAACUACGUGCCAGCAGCCGCGGUAAUACGUAGGUGGCAAGCGUUAUCCGGAUUUACUGGGUGUAAAGGGCGUGUAGGCGGGACUGCAAGUCAGAUGUGAAAAUUAUGGGCUCAACCCAUAACCUGCAUUUGAAACUGUAGUUCUUGAGUGAUGGAGAG
rnacentral:rRNA from 1 species